CGAGUCUGCCUUGAAGAUCGGAGUGCUUGCACUCUGUGAAACAAGAUACAGGCUAGCGGCGGACGGGUGAGUAACACGUGGGUAACCUGCCCAAGAGAUCGGGAUAACACCUGGAAACAGAUGCUAAUACCGGAUAACAACAGAUGAUGCCUAUCAACUGUUUAAAAGAUGGUUCUGCUAUCACUCUUGGAUGGACCUGCGGUGCAUUAGCUAGUUGGUAGGGUAACGGCCUACCAAGGCGAUGAUGCAUAGCCGAGUUGAGAGACUGAUCGGCCACAUUGGGACUGAGACACGGCCCAAACUCCUACGGGAGGCAGCAGUAGGGAAUCUUCCACAAUGGACGCAAGUCUGAUGGAGCAACGCCGCGUGAGUGAAGAAGGGUUUCGGCUCGUAAAGCUCUGUUGUUGGUGAAGAAGGACGGGGGUAGUAACUGACCUUUGUUUGACGGUAAUCAAUUAGAAAGUCACGGCUAACUACGUGCCAGCAGCCGCGGUAAUACGUAGGUGGCAAGCGUUGUCCGGAUUUAUUGGGCGUAAAGCGAGUGCAGGCGGUUCGAUAAGUCUGAUGUGAAAGCCUUCGGCUCAACCGGAGAAUUGCAUCAGAAGCUGUCGAGCUUGAGUACAGAAGAGGAGAGUGGAACUCCAUGUGUAGCGGUGAAAUGCGUAGAUAUAUGGAAGAACACCGGUGGCGAAGGCGGCUCUCUGGUCUGUUACUGACGCUGAGGCUCGAAAGCAUGGGUAGCGAACAGGAUUAGAUACCCUGGUAGUCCAUGCCGUANACGAUGAGUGCUAAGUGUUGGGAGGUUUCCGCCUCACAGUGCUGCAGCUAACGCAUUAAGCACUC
rnacentral:rRNA from 1 species